rnacentral:rRNA from 1 species
AUUGAACGCUGGCGGCAUGCUUUACACAUGCAAGUCGAACGGUAACAGGGAGCUUGCUCCGCUGACGAGUGGCGAACGGGUGAGUAAUGCGUCGGAACGUGCCGAGUAGUGGGGGAUAACGCAGCGAAAGUUGUGCUAAUACCGCAUACGUACUGAGGUAGAAAGUGGGGGACCUUCGGGCCUCACGCUAUUCGAGCGGCCGACGUCUGAUUAGCUAGUAGGGGAGGUAAAGGCUCACCUAGGCGACGAUCAGUAGCGGGUCUGAGAGGAUGUUCCGGCACACUGCGACUGAGACACGGCCCAGACUCCUACGGGAGGCAGCAGUGGGGAAUUUUGGACAAUGGGCGAAAGCCUGAUCCAGCCAUGCCGCGUGUCAAAAGAAGGCCUUCGGGUUGUAAAGGACUUUUGUCGGGGAGGAAAUCCCCAGCGCUAAUACCGCUGGGGGAUGACAGUACCUGAAGAAUAAGCACCGGCUAACUACGUGCCAGCCGCCGCAGUAACAC